rnacentral:rRNA from 1 species
AACGAAGUAGCAAUACUUAGUGGCAGACGGGUGAGUAACAUGUGGGUAUCUACCCUUUGGCCUGGAAUAACACGAGGAAACUUGUGCUAAUACUGGAUAAGUCUUUACGGAGAAAGCUUUAUGCACCAUUGGAUGAGCCCGCACUUGAUUAGUUUGUUGGUGGGGUAAUGGCCUACCAAGACUUUGAUCAAUAGCUGAUUUGAGAGGAUGAUCAGCCACAUUGGGACUGAGACACGGCCCAAACUCCUACGGGAGGCAGCAGUGGGGAAUCUUGCACAAUGGAGGAAACUCUGAUGCAGCGAUGCCGCGUGAGUGAAGAAGGCCCUUGGGUUGUAAAGCUCUUUCGUCGGGGAAGAAAAUGACUGUACCCGAAUAAGAAGGUCCGGCUAACUUCGUGCCAGCAGCCGCGGUAAUACGAAGGGACCUAGCGUAGUUCGGAAUUACUGGGCUUAAAGAGUUCGUAGGUGGUUGAAAAAGUUGGUGGUGAAAUCCCAGAGCUUAACUCUGGAACUGCCAUCAAAACUUUUCAGCUAGAGUUUGAUAGAGGAAAGCAGAAUUUCUAGUGUAGAGGUGAAAUUCGUAGAUAUUAGAAAGAAUACCAAUUGCGAAGGCAGCUUUCUGGAUCAUUACUGACACUGAGGAACGAAAGCAUGGGUAGCGAAGAGGAUUA